rnacentral:rRNA from 1 species
CUUGGUCAUUUAGAGGAAGUAAAAGUCGUAACAAGGUCUCCGUUGGUGAACCAGCGGAGGGAUCAUUAAAGAGAGCCUAAAAAACUCCCGCAAACCCCAUGUGAACAUACCAUACGUUGCCUCGGCAGGCCUCAUACGUGCCCCCUCAUAGCGUGCCCGGCGCGCAACCCCGUAAGGGGGGGGGGCUGCGGGUGAGACUUGCCGGUGGCCCAAGCAAACCCUGUUAUCACUGAAUUCUGAGCCCGCAUGUAGGAAAUUAAGUCAAAACUUUCAACAACGGAUCUCUUGGUUCUGGCAUCGAUGAAGAACGCAGCGAAAUGCGAUAAGUAAUGUGAAUUGCAGAAUUCAGUGAAUCAUCGAAUCUUUGAACGCACAUUGCGCCCGCCAGUAUUCUGGCGGGCAUGCCUGUUCGAGCGUCAUUUCAACCCCUUAAGCCCCUGUUGCUUAGCGUUGGGAGCCUACGGCCCGCCGUAGCUCCUCAAAGUUAGUGGCGGAGUUGGCCCGUACCCCAGGCGUAGUAGUUCAUUCAGCGUAGUAGUUCAUUCAGCUCGCCCGCGGUCGGACCGGUCCCCUGCCGUAAAACACCCCAUUUUUUAAGGUUGACCUCGGAUCAGGUAGGGAUACCCGCUGAACUUAAGCAUAUCAAUAAGCGGAGGA